GGGACUACAGGGGUUUCUAAUCCUGUUUGCUCCCCACGCUUUCGCGCCUCAGCGUCAGUUACAGACCAAAAAGCCGCCUUCGCCACUGGUGUUCCUCCACAUCUCUACGCAUUUCACCGCUACACGUGGAAUUCCGCUUUUCUCUUCUGCACUCAAGUCUCCCAGUUUCCAAUGACCCUCCACGGUUGAGCCGUGGGCUUUCACAUCAGACUUAAGAGACCGCCUGCGCGCGCUUUACGCCCAAUAAUUCCGGAUAACGCUUGCCACCUACGUAUUACCGCGGCGGCUGACAC
rnacentral:misc_RNA from 1 species